UACCGUAUUUUUCGCACCAUAGGACGCACCGGCCCAUAGGACGCAUCAAGUUUUUUGGGGGGGAAAUAAAGGAAAAAAAAUUAUUUCCCCCCCAGGCGCUUGUGGGGCCGGCAGCGGGGAGAAGCGCUCUUCUCCCCGCAGUCCGCCUUCAGAUCAGGUCCGGGGACAGCGGGAAGACGCGCUGCGUCUCCCAGCUGUCCCCGGAGCUUGGGGGCAGGCAGCGGGAGAGCGCUCUUCUCCCUGCCGCCCGCCUUGCGAUCAGGUCCGGGGACAGCCGGGAGACGCGCUGCGUCUCCCACCGGUCCCCCGAGGUUGGGGGCAGGCAGCGGGGAGCGCUCUUCUCCCUGCCGCCCGCCUUGUGAUCAGGUCCGGGGACAGCGGGAAGACGCGCUGCGUCUCCCAGCUGUCCCCGGAGCUUGGGGGCAGGCAGCGGGGAGAGCCGCUCUUCUCCCUGCCGCUCGCCUUGCAAUCAGGUCCGGGGACAGCGGGAAGACACGCUGCGUCUCCCAGCUGUCCGCGGUGCUUGGGGGCAGGCAGCGGGAGAGCGCUCUUCUCCCUGCCGCCCACCUUGACAUCAGGUCCGGGGACAGCGGGAAGACGCGCUGCGUCUCCCAGCUGUCCCCGGAGCUUGGGGGCAGGCAGCGGGGAGAAGCGCUCUUCUCCCUGCCGCCCGCCUUG